GACGAACGCUGGCGGCGUGCUUAACACAUGCAAGUCGAACGAUGAAGCCGGAGCUUGCUCCGGCGGAUUAGUGGCGAACGGGUGAGUAACACGUGAGCAAUCUGCCCUUGACUCUGGGAUAACUGCGGGAAACUGUAGCUAAUACCGGAUACGACACCUUGGGGCAUCCCAGGGCGUGGAAAGAAUUUCGGUCAAGGAUGAGCUCGCGGCCUAUCAGCUAGUUGGUGAGGUAAUGGCUCACCAAGGCGACGACGGGUAGCCGGCCUGAGAGGGUGACCGGCCACACUGGAACUGGGACGCGGUCCGGACUCCUACGGGAGGCAGCAGUGGGAAAUAUUGCACAAUGGGCGAAAGCCUGAUGCAGCAACGCCGCGUGAGGGAUGAAGGCCUUCGGGUUGUAAACCUCUUUUAGCAGGGAAGAAGCGAAAGUGACGGUACCUGCAGAAAAAGCACCGGCUAACUACGUGCCAGCCGCCGCCGCAG
rnacentral:rRNA from 1 species